CAACCACAUGUGUAUUACGUAGUACACAACAUUUCCUCUAUAUAAGUAUUUCACAACUAAACAAAAGCUCAGUACGUUGACGAAACGACCCUGCCUAGUACAGGUUAUUUCAAAUUCAUCUGAUUUACUCAGACGUCGUGUGAACGUUAAUUGAAGUAUUACAACAACAAGCAGCAUGCUACAGAGAGACGUGUGUCCCAGUAACCUCCCGUCAACUUCAGUCCCUCCCACGGGCCUAACCCCUCCCCCCGGACAGGAGGAUAAAACCCUGGUGGCGGCCACCUUACUAGCCCUGGAAACAGGGGAUCUGACUCCUCUAAUAAAGGAGGAACUCAAAUACACCAUACAAUCCAGACGUGUGUCGGAGGGUAAAAAGGAACUCCGGGUCGGCUUCAAACCGCCUCAGUCGUAUCAGUUGACAGAUGACGAACUGGAAAGAGUGGAGAGGAGACGGGAACAGAACCGACUGGCAGCUCAAGAAGUUCCGGCUGAAACAGAAGGUCAUGUCUGACGUACACGUCAAGCGCAUACAGAAACUAGAAGUUGCCAACACGAGACUGAGAGAGGAGCUUAGAUCGCUGAGAGAGGAAAAAAGUCAGCUGUUCUAUCGUUGGACGUCCCACAUGAGUAUAUGUCCCGCCAUACUAGACACAGUACAGGGACCCGAUAUCUCCGGGUACGUCCUUCAACAGGGUACCAACGGAGGAUGUGACGUCACCUGAUCGAAAUGUCGCUGUAGAAACUCCGUGGAUAAAGUAUUUAAAUACUAGAACAAAAUCCAUGAAAAAAAGUGAAUUCUGGAUGGAUGAACGUCGUUACAGGAUUCCACGAAUCAUCAAACAGCAUAUGGCUAUCGUGAUAUAAGUUGUGACUGACGUAAGGAACAUUAGGAUACGUCUGUCCAGGACAGGAUUCCUGCUAUACCUGAUCUUAUGAUAAAGGAUCAAAGACACAUUAUAAUUAUCGUUGAGCAUGUUCUCGUGGUGUACAGUGAAUGCUGACUUGUUUUAUGAUGACAUGUUUAAUUUCAAGAGAUUCCAUCAUUAGAACCCAUGUUUAAUUUCAAGAGAUUCCAUCAUUAGAACCCACCAUUAUAUAUAGAUACUCACAUAACAAAGUUAUAGUGAGUAAACCGGAAUCAGCUUAAUUGUCUGCCUGUCGAAAAAGCAUUGUCCGAACAACUCCUUCUGAACUUGUCAGUCAAUCUUAAUGACACUUUCACACUUCAUAUAGAUUUUGGGGCUAUCUGUAGUCUGUAGAUGUGCAUGCAUCAACCCGUGAUCGGGUGGGGUGACCUGCUGGGCGUCUUCGGCAGUAUGCUUCAGUGAGGUAGCACUAUAAUUCGGCAUAAUUUCCGGCCUAUCACAAGGAGACAUUAACGUCCGCUCUCCAUGAACACGGAACGUAAAAGUUCGCUUGGGAUGGUUGUGAUGCGAUAAACAUAAUUCAACGCAGGAUAUAAAGUUUACUUAUAUUUAUUAAUCCACAUAAAAAUCCCGAAGGUACAAUUUAAUCCUAUGACGUUUCAUCCAUCUUCCACACUAUCGCCGGCGCAUUCACACUUAACAGUUCACACACAUUUAAACAAAUCUAAGUCUACAUAUUUACAUCCAAACGGCACUCAGGUCCGUUUAGUCUAAACACUACUAGAGAACUGCGUAUGCUUGAUUGAUUGAUUGAUGGGGCUUAACGUCAUUGUUCCGGUUAUAACCGAGCCUAGGACACUAACUGCGUAUGCAAAACGCGCAAGUCUUUAUAUAUCCCCUAAGGGUUAAUUAAUAUGUAUAAAUUAAAGAUGAGGUCAAUUGACCAAUCCUGACCUUUAGCCCGAAAUACGGGCGUCUCUAAACCCCUAUAACGUCAUUUCUAAUUAAAGAUCUAGGCACUGACCACUGGUCCCACGGACCGUGCACGUGUGCUACAUACAUGUAAUAACGACUGACUUCCAGGUGUUACCGUUUGGUUCCUAACACAGGUUAACUACUAAUCUAAGGGAAGCAACUCGAAUAGAUUUGGCUGACAAUAGCGUAUAAUACGCUUCCUAUACACUAGGUAACUUUGAACACAUAACAUGUAAAACUUGUCUUUAAAUAAAACGUACCUUCUUAACUCUUAAAUAUCCCUAAUGACAUCUUAUACAACCUAUCUAUUUCCUAGUUCACUACAGACAUACAAUGUAACACAAACAUACCGCAGCCUCCCAAAACACACUUGCGCACUCACCACACGCAUGCAUAUCGCACCCACGAGAGCCGGAAAAUUACAUUAUGUAGUUACAAUGUACAAUAAAAACAUUUGUACGUAAUAAGCUCGAGUAAGGCCAUCGUUAGCAUCACGUUAGGUGUAAUAACCCGGUGUUCCUAUAUAUAGGUAUUGUACUAAAGUAUUAUUAUAUAUAUACUGUGAUAAGGCCACUGCUGGAAGAUAUGCUUGAUCUAUUUACUAUAUACAUAUGUAUAUGUGUGUGUGCGUUUUUAACCGUAAAAGACAGGGUCAGAAGCAUUUCAAUAUGUCAGUUUUUAGUAUCGGUGUGCACACCUUAUGUAAUACAUGUACAUGAUGUAUUUUGGAAACGUUGAUUAAAAUAUUUACAAUUA